UAAUAUAAGUCUCUGUGUAUUAUUUGGGGUCCUAACUUGGCGGGCAGAACUCGGGUGGCUGGCAGAAAGCGCCCACGUGGCAACAGGGCUCGAGUGUCUUUUGGCAGAAAGAUUUAUCGUAACAUAAAGCCUUUUCUGUUGAAAAUGUACUGAUACUGAAAAUUAGUGGCACCUUUUAAUCUGCUCUUGGUUGAGGCCAAGAGGCAGCUAAAGCCAUUCACACCACAGCUGUGAAUGAAAGUGGGGACAUAACCAUGUGGCUGCCUCUGCAGACCCUUCCCACAGGGCCUUCCAUCUCCUCUCUAGUCUGUUCUUCUGUAUUGUUUAUUUCAUCUCUCUUCUCCAUCAUGGAUCAUCCUUUUGACAGAACACACCAUUUUUGGUUUACUUUAUUUCUCAGUAUGUACUGUAGUGAUGCUAGAGGCUCAAUAAAUGCACACUUAGUAAUAGAUAAGCCAUAUUCUCAUCUAUAAUAGUGCUGAAGGGAAAUGACUUUUGGUCAUUGAUAUGUGUCACUUUCUUCUCGCCUCAGAUACUUCUGAUGGUCCAGUGCCUCUUGGGUCUCUUCCCUCAUGACAAGAUGAAUACUCUGGCUUGGCCCCCAUCUUCUCAGUCUUUGGAAAGGCACUGUCUUAAACCUUCCUUCCUUGAACUUUAGUCAGGAUGAGCAUUUCAUGACACUGUGAAGAGUGACUGGAUUUGGACUCACUUGGGAGAUACAACCCUGAACAUGUCUGGAGGGUGAUUCCAGAGAGGUGUAACUAAAGAGGGGAGGUCUACCCUGGAUGUGGGUGGCACCAAGCCAUGGCUGGGGGCCUGGACCAGAGACUAGGGAGAAAAAGAGGAAGCCACUGAAUGCCAGCUCUCCUCUCAUUCUACUUCUUGACUGGAUGCAAUGUGACCAGCUGCUUCACACUUCUGCUUCCAAGCUCUUCCCACCACAAUGGGCUGUACCUCCAAACAGUGAGCCCCAGCAUUGUGGUGCCGUGAUAGCUGUUUGUGAUGACACCCUCACUUUGGCUUUCUUGGAUAGUUUUGAUGGUGAAAGUCCUCUCAUGUACUCAUGUGUCAGCUGUGGACUGUCAUCAGAGAACUGUUUGUGCACAUCCUUUGUCUACCUUCUAACUGGAUUGUUGGUUUUUUCUUUAUGUCUUUUGCAAAUCCGAUGUAUACUCUAUAUACACUUUUUGUCAGAUGUCUUGUUUGAAAAACAUUUCUCCUUUUCUAUAAUUUGCCCUAUUAGACGUUAUUAAAUAAAGUUUUCCUUGUUGCAAAAAAUUCAA